rnacentral:lncRNA from 1 species
UUUGCUGAAAAUCAUGGUACUCCUAAUGCCAGUUCAGGAACAAAGGACAGAUCUGAGUGGAUUUCAAGAAGAGAGAGGGGUCACAUGAAUCUUGACAUUUAUAAACAUGCAACUGCAUUUCUUCUUCAAGCCAAGGAAACCCAUCGACUGACAUGGAGAGCUGUUAACCACAUCGUGAGUGGAGUCCAGCAAUAUCAGGCCGUAUUAU